ACUUUUUUUUUUUUUUUUUUUUUUUUUUUUUUUUUUUUUUUUUUUUUUUUUUUUUCGGUGAAUCCGAUAUACAC
rnacentral:ribozyme from 13 species